UUCCUGGUGGCUCAGACGGUAAAGCGUCUGUCUGCAAUUCAGGAGACCUGGGUUCAAUCCCUGGUUGGGAAG
rnacentral:tRNA from 1 species